GAUGAACGCUAGCUACAGGCUUAACACAUGCAAGUCGAGGGGAAACGACAUCGAAAGCUUGCUUUUGGUGGGCGUCGACCGGCGCACGGGUGAGUAACGCGUAUCCAACCUGCCCACCACUUGGGAAUAACCUUGCGAAAGUAAGACUAAUACCCAAUGAUAUCCCACGAAGGCAUCCGAAUGGGAUUAAAGAUUUAUCGGUGAUGGAUGGGGAUGCGUCUGAUUAGCUUGUUGGCGGGGUAACGGCCCACCAAGGCGACGAUCGGUAGGGGUUCUGAGAGGAAGGUCCCCCACAUUGGAACUGAGACACGGUCCAAACUCCUACGGGAGGCAGCAGUGAGGAAUAUUGGUCAAUGGGGCGCAGGCCUGAACCAGCCAAGUCGCGUGAGGGAGGACGGUCCUACGGAUUGUAAACCUCUUUUGUCGGGGAGUAACGUGCGGGACGCGUCCCG
rnacentral:rRNA from 1 species